rnacentral:sRNA from 1 species
UGUCGUAGCCCUCCUUGGGCGUUUCCUCCCUAGACUUGGGCCGUUCGUGAUCCGAACGGCCCUUUUUUCUUGCCAAU